AGGUCUUUGUUUGCUGAUGAUGGAGCAUUAUGGAAGAGAGGAAGAAAUAUUGAACAUAUAAUUAGGAAGUUGCAAGGGGGUAUUAGCCAAGUGGAAAAAUGGGGUGAUGAAUGGGGCUUUAAAUUCUCAGUUGAAAAGACUAAGGUAGUAUUUUUUACUAGGAAAAAGGUAGGAGAAUACCAGUUAAAGCUGUAUGGGAACAACCUAGAAAAGGUGGAGUGUUUUCGCUUUCUGGGUGUUUUAUUCGAUGCUAAGUUAACAUGGAAGAAUCAUAUAAGACAGGUUGUUGACAAAUGUAAGAAAGUUAUAAACGUCAUGAGAUGCCUUUCAGGGCUACAGUGGGGAGCUAGUAUUACAGCUCUGAGGUAUAUUUACAUAGCACUAAUAAGGUCGAGAUUAGAUUAUGGAUGUAUAGCCUAUGGAUCAGCAUCGAAGACUGCAUUAAGAGAACUAGAUAUAAUCCAAGCUCGAGCUUUAAGAAUUUGUAUUGGAGCAGUAAGAACUACGCCAGUAUGUGCAAUGCAGGUAGAAGCUGGGGAGAUGCCAUUAGAGUUACGCCGAAAUCAAUUAACAGCUAACUACUGGAUCAAUUUGAGAGGGCAUAGUGACAGCCACCCAACAAAAAAGGUAUUGCAAGCAAGCUGGGAGAAGGAAAAAGGAAACAGGAAAAGCUUUGGAUGGACAGGAGAUCAAAUAGCAGCUGAUAUGAGAAUAAAUAAUAUAGAAUUUGAAGAAAAUAAUAUAUGGCCCAAUAGACCAGUAUGGCUACUAGAGUAUCCAAAAGUAGAUAAAGAGCUACUAAAUAUUAGACGGAGUGAUGAGCCAUCAGAUACAGUAGCAGAGUAUUACAGGAGGAGGGAAUGCAUAUAUAAGACAUAUAUUCAGAUUUUUACGGAUGGAUCAAAAGAGGGAAACAUAACGGGUUUAGGUAUGACGGUGCCUAAGUAUAAGAUAGAAAUGUACAAAAGAACAUCUGAUCAUUUGAGUGUAUACGCUGUGGAAAUGUGUGCUAUCAUGAUGGCAGUACAGUGGAUUGUAGAGAAUAAUAAUCAAGAUUUUGUUGUAUGCAGUGAUUCUGUAUCGACGCUUAUGAGCAUUGAGGCAGGUGCUGCUAAAAGUCAUCAGGGCCUGCUUUAUGAGAUUUUAUUUAAUUACACGAUAGCAGUCAGACAGGGGAAAAAUGUUGCUUUCAUGUGGGUGCCGGCGCAUUCAGGUAUUAAAGGAAAUGAGGAAGCUGACAAGCUAGCAAAAAAGGCAGUAAAAAAGGAAGAUGUUGAACUGCAUAUCAAAUUAGCUAAAUCAGAAGGUAAGAGUAUAGUUUGGAGUGAAACAAUGGAGAAAUGGCAGCAGCAAUGGAGUAAUGAAAUAAAGGGAAGACACUGUUAUUCCAUACAAAGUACUGUAGGUGGCAAUAGAGGUAAGGGGAGAAACCGGAAAGAGCAAGUCAUUUUAAGUAGAUUAAGAUUGGGACAUAGCAACUUAAAUAGCACUCUUCAUAUUAUAGGAAAGCACCCAACAGGUUUGUGUGAUUAUUGUCAGGAAAAGGAGACUGUGGAGCAUAUCCUUAUAUCAUGUGGAAAAUAUAAUCAGGAAAGGCAAGAAGUGAUGGCACAGCUACAGAGUAUUGAGCAAAUAGAUGUAAGUGUUAAAAAUAUCUUAUAUUUAGCGGAAAAGGGACAAGGAGCAAGUUAUUUUUUUGACUAUUUAAAAGAAACUGGACUGGAUAAGAGAAUUUAGGAGGAGACAAAUAUGAGCAGAAGAUGGCAGUAGUGCAACAAACUGGAUGCAAGCUGCCGCUAAACACCAAAGAAGAAGAAGAAGAAGCAUGGAUUACUCUCGGUCUCUUUGUUUGCUCAUCGACAUUACGAGGUCAUGUACACUGUGGUCAACUUUGUGGACGAUGAAGAGGUUUCUGGGUAAAGAUGAUAGAAAUAUAACGAAGUAACAGUGGAAGCUAAAACAUCAGACUGAUCUCGACACUGAAGAAAUUGAUGUCACUGCAAUCUGGCCAAAAUGAUACAACAAUAUUGAAGUAGCCUACUGUAAUGAAGCUGCAGAACAACACAGAGACUCUGAGGACAUCAACACAGAAAAUGAAGGCUCCAAAGAGAUGUCUGUCCAGAUGAGGGUGCAUCAACUUUACCUUUGCUGACAACAGUUAACUUAACUCAAACCAUUUAAGGAAAUCGGUUGCCUUAAACCAUUAAGUUUUAAAAAACAUACAUUUGAGUACUGUGAACUUAAGUCUUGUGCAAUUAUGCACUUAUAUUUAGGUAGUGUGAACUUAAAUAUAAGUGCAUAACUGCUUGUGACUCAAUUUUUUUAAGUUCACAGUACUCAAAUCUAUGUGUUUUAAAACUUGAAUGGUUUAAUGCAACCGGUUUUCUUAAAUGUGAGAAGUGACAGUGUUACAGUGAGAAAUGUUUGAUUAAUUCCAAGACAGAGCUCUGCUAUUGAAUCUACACUGCAAAAAAUCACUUUCUAACUUAGGAUUUUUAUCUUGUUUUCAGUAGAAAAACUAAAAAUUCUUAAAUCAAGAUGUAUUUUCUUGAUGAGCAAAAUUACCUUAGAAAAUAUGUGUAGUUUUUAGACAAAAAUAUACAUUUUAAGUAAAUUUGUGCCUAAACAAGCAAAAAUAUCUUAACAGUGGAGUGAGAAAAUUGUGCUUAAAUUAAGUUUUUAUGAAAAAAGAAAACGUAAGAUUUUUUUUCUCACACCAUUGGCAGAUAUUUUUGCUUGUUUUAAGCACAAAUUCACUUAAAGUGUGUGUGUGUGUUUAUUUAUUUUGUCUAAAACUAGACUUAUUUUCUUAGGUCAUUUUGUUCAAGAAAAAGCAUUUUAAUUUAAAUAAUAUUUCUACUAAAAACAAGACAAUAAUACUAUGUAAGAGUCAUUUUUUGCAGUGUAGGACUGAUUUCUUAAAGCAAGAUCAAUAUAGUUGUUGUUCAUUUUAUUUAGAUAUUUACUACAUUACAGUGGCAGCUGGUGACUUGUUUUUUGUGAGCACUUGAUGCGAAGUUUGUCACAACAUGUAUACAGCCCGUCAUUUGUGUGGUUCCCAAUUUCAAAAUAUGUGUUCUGCGUGUAUGUGUAUCACGUGUUUUGACUAAACACGUGAUGCACAUGGUUUACAUGAAGCAACAAAAACAUUUUAAAAACACAAGCAACACACAUGACACUCCGAACACUUAUUUUGAAUUUGCAACCGCCACUGCUACAUUACAUUGUACUGCUUUGAAUGUAGUUUUCAUUGUUGCUUUUAUUUUGUUUUAUUUUACUCUAAUAUUGCUUUCUCUGUCUGUAUAUUUAUAAGUUUAAAUAGUAUUGUUUAUGUAUGCAACUUCUAAUAUUUAUGUGUAAUAUUAUUUUGUGAU